rnacentral:rRNA from 1 species
UACGAAGGGGACUAGCGUUGCUCGGAAUCACUGGGCGUAAAGCGCACGUAGGCGGAUGUGUCAGUCAGGGGUGAAAUCCCGGGGCUCAACCUCGGAACUGCCUUUGAUACAGCACGUCUCGAGUCCGGAAGAGGUGGGUGGAAUUCCUAGUGUAGAGGUGAAAUUCGUAGAUAUUAGGAAGAACACCGGUGGCGAAGGCGGCCCACUGGUCCGGUACUGACGCUGAGGUGCGAAAGCGUGGGGAGCAAACAGG